rnacentral:rRNA from 1 species
CCUACGGGUGGCUGCAGUGGGGAAUAUUGGGCAAUGGGCGCAACCCUGACCCAGCAACGCCGCGUGAAGGAAGAAGGCUCUCGGGUUGUAAACUUCUUUUAUUCGGGACGAUACUAAUGACGGUACCGAAUUAAGAAGCCACGGCUAACUACGUGCCAGCAGCCGCGGUAAUACGGAGGUGGCAAGCGUUAUCCGGAUUUACUGGGUGUAAAGGGCGUGUAGGCGGGAGAGCAAGUCAGACGUGAAAUUCCAGGGCUCAACCAUAGAACUGCGUUUGAAACUGUUCUUCUGGAGUGAUGGAGAGGCAGGCGGAAUUCCGGGUGUAGCGGUGAAAUGCGUAGAGAUACGGAGGAACACCAGUGGCGAAGGCGACCUGCUGGACAUUAACUGACGCUGAGGCGCGAAAGCGUGGGGAGCAAACAGGAUUAGAUACCCCGGUAGUC